GGAGGGAGGAUAGAGAGUGACUGCUUAAUGGGUACAGAUUGCCUUUUAGGGUAAUGAAAAUGUUCUGGAACUAGGCAGUGGUGGUAUCACAUAGCAUUGUGAAUGUACUAAAUGUCGCCAAUGCUAAUUUUUAUGUUAGGUGUAUUUUACCACAGUAAAAAAAAAUAUAUAUAUGCACACAUGCACACACACACUUAAAAAAGUAAUCUUUCUGGUUUGUUAAUAGCAACUGCAACCUCUAAGGUCCUUUGGCAACGUACCUGAUGAGUGGUCAUGCAGAUUGUACCAGAAUAUCCUCACUGAGAAGAAAGUUGCUCAAAAGAAAAAUGUAUCAUUGGGCUGCUACCAGCUGUAUGCAGAUUCUAGAACCAAAGAGGACAAAUCCUUGCUCAAACUGUAAAGAGGAAAACCAUCUAUCGGGGCCAGCGUUUCACAGAGGAACUAUGCCAUGCAACACAACCUGGGAAACACCACUGAAGCAAGCAGGAUUUCCUCUCCCAUGAGGUCUGG